rnacentral:rRNA from 1 species
UACGUAGGGGGCAAGCGUUGUCCGGAAUCAUUGGGCGUAAAGAGCGUGUAGGCGGUCCGGUCAGUCGGUUGUGAAAGUCAAGGGCUCAACCCUUGAAUGCCGGCCGAUACUGCCGGGCUAGAGUCCGGAAGAGGUGAGUGGAAUUCCUGGUGUAGCGGUGAAAUGCGCAGAUAUCGGGAGGAACACCGAUGGCGAAGGCAGGUCUCUGGGCAUUAACUGACGCUGAGGAGCGAAAGCAUGGGGAGCGAACAGG